UGCCCUUUCCCCCAGAUGGAAAUAAGCCAAGGGAACAUUCUGUUCUGCAAACCAGUUCCCACCCUGCUCUUUAUAAACUUCGUUUUCUUUCAAUUUCCAGUAGGGAACCAAGCCCCUGGGGCAGUUUCCUGAUCUGGAUAUACUGCCAUGGUGUCCUAGGGCUUGUGUUGUCCCUUGACUUGUUCAUCUCUGGACUUUCUCAGCUGGAGACAGAAAACUCUCUGUGGCUGUUGACCCUCCCAGGCAGAGUCCACUGGCUGAUGUUUGGGUGAAAUGGGGCUGAUGCUUCCUGGAAUCCACCAGAAGUAUGAACAUUGCACCAUCUCUUUCAGCUGCCUGCGCCUGCAUUCCAUUGAGGAUUCCUGGUAGAAGAAACCAUCCUGUUCCUCUUUCUAAGUGCCUCGUUAAAGCCUGAGGACAAAUCCUUCCUGCUUCACUUGUCCUGGGAGGUGAGACGGGACCUGAAUGGGAAGAAGAGGAUGCGCACCACGUCAUCCUUCACGGGGUACUCUGACUAUAGGGACACUGAUCUCCAAGGCCUGGGUACUUCCCGUGUGCCUGAUUCACUGGGGAGUCUCAACUCGUCGGGGUAUAGGCAUGAAACGAUUUUAUUUCUUCCAGUAACUGCCCUGGCUGUGCUGUGCCAGAUCUCUCUUUCCUGCUGAGGAGCCGCUCCCUUAACGGUGUCUUGGUCUGGUUCCAUAACUUUUCAGCCACUUUCGGUUACUAUAACAGUCUCAUUCCAGUAAUUAAGACUCAGCUUCUUAUAUUUUUAAAACUUUCAUCGCAAAUUCAAUUCAGAGCUCUUCUCUCCCUUUCCCUCCAGUGAAAGCUAGAGUAGGGUCCUGGCUGUUUGAAGCAGUGGAGCAGAGGCAGGGCCUGCCUUGAAGGUGCCUCAUCUCCCUCUUCGAGGCCUCAGCAUCUACUUGGGCAGAGAGGAGGGAUGGAGAGUAAGAGGCCUCUUUACAGGAGUGUCCUUUACCCCUUCCUAGUUCUUUGUGGCUCUGUUAGAUGCUGAAGAUCUCACCCCACCUUCCCCCAUCACUGAAAACCACCCUUUCCCCCUCCUCCCUUCACACAGACGCACCUCCCUUUAUCCUCAACAGUGGUACAGGCACCCAACGACCGUUUGUUGACUUGGCCUUGGGUACCUGGGCAAACCCUCAGCUCUGUCUUUCCACUGACUUCCGUGCAUAUUUCCACGUGGAGCCACAGACCCUGCAGGAAUCCUCUCCCAUAAUCCUUCAAGGGCCCCACAGUCCUGGGAAGGGAGUGCUGCCCCCAUCUUCUUCCAAGUCAUGCUGCACCAGGGUCCUUCGAGCCCUACUAGAUGGGCUACUGUAGUGGGCCUCUGGCUUUCAGAAUCUCCCGGACUCAGGUGGGUACCGGUCUCUACAUUCAAAUGCAGUCCCAGUCCUCAAAGUACCUUCAUCAGGCAUCCUGCUUUUCCUUCCCACCGUGGAGAGGCGGACAACAAAGGCCUUGGGCUGUAGUCCUAGGAUCCCAGAAUGGCAAGGACUCUGACAGCGAUCUGUGCCUCUGAGGCAUCAGGGAGGGUCUGGAUUCCCUCUCCCUUCACACUGGCGCAGGAAAGCACCUCUGUAGUCUUCACAGGGGUGAAGAGGGUAACUCUCCCUCGGUCUCUCUCAGUCCUGCUCCUGACUGGAGGUGGCUGGGUGCCAGUCCCUUUAGAGGGUGCUGAUGCCUUGAGCAGCAGUGUGUGGAGGUGGCUGGCUCCAUCUGCUGGCGGCUUGCUGGUAAUGCUAUGGGGUUCCUUGGCUCCUCUCGGCUGCGGGUCUAGCAUCAUGGGAAGACAUGCUAGGACUUGCCUAGCUGCCGGCUGGGCUCUCCCCCCUUCUCUUCUAACCUGUGUUGGAGUUGUCUUUCCUCCUGGAAGGAUUUCUUGAUUAAAUCCCACCAUUGGACAUGCUCAGCACCCAGGCUCUCAAUUGGUGAGUGAACUUGGACAGCAGCCUGAGUAGAUCUCUGCCCAUGGCCACAGAAGAUGCCAGCCCGAAGUUUCUGAUGUUCUCGUUCGCCGCCAUCUCAACAUCAUGACUUGGACCUCCCUCGGGGCCAUCCCUAAGCUGUGUUUUCUAAUACUGCUCCACCAGCAGAAACCUGAAACCAGUGGUUGUCUGGGCAGAUAAGAUGCAUCUGAAACUGACUUUCCCACAGGUGCCCCCUUUUCCUCCAUCCUUUUUCUUCAAUGACUUAAAGAAGCCUCCUUUCUGACACUGACUUUAUCUUCCCUGGCCCCUGGGGACAACUGUGAUGGUUCAAAAGAUGGAACCGACCAUUCUCAGUUGCUUGAGAAGGCCUCUUUUAUGAGAUAAUACUUGAUGUUUGUAAAGUGUGUUACAGUUUGCAAAGUGACUUCACGUACAUCUUUUCAUGUCUUAAAACGUCACUGUGCUUGAUCUUUCUUUCCUGACUGCGAGGUGAGGAAAUGAGAUUUGGUAAGUGCUUUCUUAACCUGGGUCGAGAAGGCUUAGUACUGGAACUCACAUGCUUGAAGAAUGGCUAAGUUCUAAGCUGGGAAAAUAGGUCCAAACUGAGCUGUCUGUAAAGAGGGAUUUGGUAGCUAGGGCUCGGUCUGGAGGAAGGGGGAGGAUAUCCUUAAUAGGCAAGUUGGAGGUGACUUCAGUGAAGAAUUGAUGACGAUAAUGGUACUUUUUGAGAAAAUACUCCAAUUGCUUAAGGCAGUUAGACAACAUGUUUAAAAUGUAUUUUGGAUAUGUAUUCAUAUCCUGUACAUUUUGAUUUCCUGAGGUUCUCCACCUAUGAAAGCAAUAGGUUUUAGUGCUUUAGGAAGGGCAGGAACCACCUCAAACAAGAGGUCAUUGUUCAGUUUAAAUCUUAGAGCCAAGUUCUUGUUUUUGAAUCCAUCAAGGGAAAACAGUCUUGGAAGUAAGAUUUUGUGUAGAAAGCAAAUAAAUUUCUAAAUUCAUCAGCUUCCCGAUAAUAUGAUCACAGAAUUUCCCGUAAACAAUAGAGAUUCGGCCAGGCACGGUGGCUCACGCCUGUAAUCCAAGCACUUUGGAGGCCAAGGUGGGUGGAUCACCUGAGGUCGGGAGUUCAAGACCAGCCUGACCAACAUGGUGAAACCCCGUCUUAAAAAAAAAAUAAAAAAUAAAACUAAAAAAAGAAAAUCAUUUUUUUAAAAUAAAAAACAAAACACAACAAAACAAAAACAAAAGAGAUAAUUCAGACUGUGGCACAAUGGAAGUCACUUGGGAAGCUCACCACUUCUCACCUGAGGGGUUUGGAAGAAGAAAGGAGAGGUGGAGGAAGGAUGAUGGAGUCGGAGUGCAGUGUCCUCGUUUUUAUUCCCAUAGGCCAAAUCACUGGAUACAGUAGAAACAUUCAGAUAGAUAUGAAGGAAACUAAGAACAUGGGGGUUAAUGUCUCCAGCCUUGCAUUCCCUCAACAUGGCACAGGAGCUAAAGAGAAGGGAGAUGGGUAAUUUGAUGAGACUGAGCCAGUGCUCCUGUUCUCCACAGCCUGGGAAUGUCGUGCCCUGGAACUUAGGAGUUCUAAUGUGCUUUGGUUGGGGUGCUGGGAAAGCUUGUAGUCCAGCAGAGGCCUGGGGAUGGAACAAAGUGUUCACUGAACAGGGGACUUUGCAACUGGAGAGAAAGGAUCAAAACUGUGGUUUUUAGUGGUGGGAGCUCAUUCAUCAUCCUAAGAAGUCAGGCUCAGUUAUGAAAGAGUCUAGGAAACAGACUAGAUGAAUAGCCCAGGCAGAGGUCAGCUUGGACUAGAGAUGCGUUCUCUCCCAUUACCGCAAGGUGAAGUAGGAUCCAUGAUGCACCUGCUACUGUUAAGGAAGAGUCAGGGUGGUGGUGGAGUGUCUAGGGAGGAAAUUCAGAAGUCUGAACAUUUACCCCGGAGAAACUGAACCAUCCGAAAAUAUGUUUAUGUCAGUGCUAGUAAUUUUCAAGAUUAACUUCUUAAGACAAAAUUUGAGAACACAGAAUUUGAGAUAAAGAUAUAUGCUAAAGCUUUACUGAAUGGUGCAAGUCUAGGGCAGCAAAGAUAAGGGAAAAAGCAAAAGUGAGGCAGAGAAGAAGAGAAGUAAGCCAUCAUCUCACAAAAAAACCAUUUGGUUUCAGACACCUGGGACUUCCUCCGGCUGGGCCAUAGGAGAUCAUCAUACCUCAAAAUAGUCUGUGUGGGGAGGGGUGAUUUGAAUUUAUCUGUUGCAUUCUCCUCUCUCCUGUCUUUCAAUGAUCACCAUUUGCCACAUGGUAUAUUAACUUUACUACACCAUGAAGUCAUGUUACCUCUUUCCUCUGGUAGGAUUCUGAGGAAGUUAGAGAUCCAAUGCUCAAGCCAUACUUCUUUACAGCAGUUUUAAAAUAUGUCCACAAAUGCUUUUGUACUCCUCUCUUUAAGAGGUGGAGCCUAAUUCCCCUCUAUCUGAGUGUGGGCUGGUCUUAGAGACUUGUUUCUAACAAACAGAAUAAAGUGAAUGUGACAUUGUGUGAUUGCAGAGAUUAGGUCAUAAAAGGCAUUGUGCCUUCUUCCUUACUCUUAAACAAAAACAGCUGACUCUUGAACAACAUGGGGGUUCGGGGUACCAACUCCUGCAUAGGCAAAAAUGCAUGUAUAAUUUUGAUUUUCCCCAAAACUUGGCUAUUAAUAGCCUCUUACUAAUCAGAAGCCUUACAGCUAGUAUAAACAGUUGAUUAACACAUAUUUUGUAUGUUAUAUGUAAGAAAAUUAUGAGAAAGAGAAAAUAUACUUACUCUUCAUUAAGUGGAAGUAUAUCAUUGUAAAGGUCUUCAUCCUUGUCAUCUUCACCUUGAGUGGGCUGAGGAGGAGGAGAAAGAGGAGGGAUUGGUCUUGCUGUCUGAGGGGUGGCAGAGGCAGAAGAAAGUCUGCAUGUCUUGCAGUGUUUCCCGGGCUGAUCUUGAACUUCUGGGCUCAAGCAUUCCUUCUUCCUGGUGUUGGGAUUACAGAAGACAAAACAGAGGGAAGAAAACCACGACCUCUUGAGUGAGUCCUUUGUGCCAGAUUUUGCAGAGGGCUUCCCGGUUAAUCCUCAGAAGAAUUUAUUAUUUCCAUUUUGCACAUGCAGAAACGGCAGCUCAGAGUGGUUCAGCAAAUCGCCCAACAUGGCUUAGACGGCUCAGCGCUUUCUCUCUACAUUACAGUACCUCCUAGUUUUGGGUUUUCUGUAAGCAUAAAUGUCAUGAUGGAAUUUAAGCUGUUCAAGUAAAUAUUUUACAGGACAAAGCCAAGGACAGAGACAAAUAACCGGAGAACCCCUUCCAGGUAUAUCUAUGACUCUUACUUCAGUCCAUGAAUCAAUACUUUUUAUAGAGGAUCAUUCAACCAAUGAAAUUGGAAUCAGAUGCUGCUAUUGGAAAUUGAGGUCUAGAGUGUGCUAAGAAGUCACAAAUCUCCUUCCUUCAUUUCUUUAAGGGAAGCACCACCUUGCCCCAGCUCUUUUCUUGCCCACUCUCAGCAGGAGUCUGGAUGUUUAUAGAGUCACAUGUCCUAAAUCAAUCCCGGAAAAUGUUCCUUUUCAAGCUGUGUGUGAGAAACUUUACAGAGCAUUCUGGGAGCAGGCAGCAUCUGCCUGUAUUUACUCUUGCUGUUGAUUAAAGCCGACAGCUGGAGCACCAGGAGCCGAGGCUGUAGGCACAGGACUGCUGACAAGAGGGAAAAGAGUCGAUGGCAGUGGCUAGUCCAAAGGAAGCCCAGUCCCUUCUUUCCCAUGAUCACUACCCAAGAUUGACAGAAGAGGAGUCAGGUCAAGAGAAGAGGAAGAGGUUCAUCUAAGGCAAUUUUCUCCUAGGAUGGAAACUUUCCCUGCCCCAUUUUGAAGAGAAAGAAAUGUGACAUAGAUUUCCAUGGGGGCUGGUGCCGGUGGGCUCCACGACCGUGGCCAGAGGCCCGUGGGCAGCAGCAUUAAUGGCAUUUUUCCUAGAGGAUGAGGAAAUAGUGGUGGCUGGAGCCUUGGACACUCUGAUGAUCUCUCUGACCUCCUGCUGCUUCAAGGCGACUUCAAGCAGAAUGAGAGAAGGGCAAGUUGAGAGAGGGUGCCCCUGAUCACUGCUCAGAAUCAUGUACCUAUUUGAGCUGUAACUCCUCAGUUCCCAUCUCUCUGCCACAGGUGUAUUGCAGUGGGAUGCUUGGACUUGGAACAAGCUUGUACUUCCAGCACCUCCGCGUGGCCCUUCUAGCGGUGGAUGAUUAGGUAGCAAUCCUGUGUCUUCUGUUGGUGUCCUUCACAUAGCUGCUCAAACUCCUCCAGGCUCCCCAUUCCACUGAGAAUGAAGUUCAAAGUGCUCACCAUGGCCCACGUGGCCCUGCGUGCUCCGGCCUCCGCCUCCCUCUCCAGCCUCCCCUUCUACCACACCCCCUGCGGUAGCCUUCCUGCUAUGCUUUGAAUGUGCCACCCACGUUUCUGCCUCAAAGUCCUUACACUUUCUGUUCCCUCUCUCCAAUGGUUGCCAGAUUUAGUAAAUAAAAAUACAAAAUGCCCAGUCAAAAUUGAAUUACAGAGAAACAAUGAAGAAUUCUUAGUGUAAGUAUGCUCCAUGCAAUAUUUGUUCACCUGAAUUUCGUAUGUGACUCAGCACGUUAUGGGAUGUAAUAAGCACGGGAUGCUGAGUUACAUAUGAAAUUCGGAUGAACAAAUAUUGCAUGGCGACCUUGAGGGCUCCCUGGAAUGCUACGCACUCACGUAUGCAUGUGGCUUGUUCCCUCUCUCCCUCCAAGUCUUGGCUCACCUCACCAGAGGCCUCGCCUUCCAUCCCAUCUACAAUAGGAAUCAACUCUCUCAUCCUGCUUUUUCUGCUUUAGAGCUCUUACCAUUACCUGGUGCCUUAUGGUUUAUUUAUUCAUUUAUUUGUUGACUUUUUGGCUCCUUGACACUUGUGAGCUCUACCAGCGUGGGAUUUAUCUUCACUGUGAUAUCUUCACUCUCUGGACUUGUUAGUGCUCAAUAAAUGUUUGCAGAGUGACUGAAUGAAUUUAUCCCAGCUCUCCCUGUGUGAUGUGGACUCCUCGAGGUCUCUGAUCUCACCUCAGGCUACUCCCUUCCUACAGGGCAUAAGCCACAGUGGCCAUCCAGCUGACCCUCAGACGUGCCAAGCCCCUUCCUGUUUCUAGGACUUGGGACUUGCUACCAGGCACAAGCCUCCCUCUGUGUUUGAAUGGCUGCUCCUUCUCUUCUCCUAAGUCUCAGAGAGGGAUUUUCCAACCUCUCUGCUGACAUGAGCCCUCUGACCCUGGACGUUUCAUUCACACACAGUUUUAUUUCCCUUAAAAAAUCUUAUUGUUGAUGGGUGCAGUAGCUCAUGCCUGUAAUUCCCGCACUUUGGGAGGCCAAUGUGGGCAGAUCACUUGAGGUCAGCAGUUCGAGACUAGCUUGGCCAACACGGUGAAACCCCCUCUCUACCAAAAAUACUAAAAUUAGUUGGGUGCGGUGGCACACGCCUGUAAUUCCAGCUACUUGGGAAGCUGAGCCAUCAGAAUUGCUUGAACUCUGGAGGGUUAAAAAAAAUCUUAUUGCUCUUGGAAAUUAUUUGUUUAAUGAUUUUUUUUUUCUUUCUGAGUCAGGGUCUUUCUCUAUUGCAGAGGCUGGAGUGCAGUGGCAGGAUCACAACUCAGCCACCUCUGCCUUCCAGCUUCAAGUGACUCUCGUGCCUCAGACUCCUGAGUAUCUGGGAUUAUAGGUGUGCACCACAUCCAGCAAUUUUUGUAUUUUUAGUAAAGGUGGGGUUUCACUAUGUUGUCCAGUGGCCGGGCUGGUCUUGAACUCCUGGCUUCAAGUGAUUUAUCUGCCUUGGCCCUCCAAAGUUCUGGGAUUACAGGUAUGAGCCACUGCUCCUGGACUGUUUAAUGAUUGAUUGACUUUUUCUUUGUGUUCUCUACAUAAGAAUGUAAGUUCCAUGAAGGCUUUGACCCUGUGUGACUUAUGUGUCACUAUAUCCCAGCACCUAGCCUCUUGCCUGGCAUCUAACAAGAAAUCAAUAUGUGUUGACUGGAUGAGUGAGGGGUGGUUUGGGGGCAGGCAACGAACCCCAGGUUUGCAGGAGCAUUGGUAAGUGCAACAAGGGAGGUGACCCACAGCAGAGGAGGAAUGAGCCCAGGAACCAGCCAGGAGAGGGACAGUCCAUGAAGCUGGGCAGCAUCGUGCCCCACAGAGACCGAGUGUGCUGAAUUAGCAGAGCUUACUCGGGGUGAGGAUGUCAGGACGGGGCUUCCUGCUUCUCUUUUUGGUAAAGCCACCUCCUUCUCAUUGGAAUAUGCCAUUUCAGGCCCAGAGAGUGAGCCUGAAAUGAAUGAGCCCCUCCACGUUCCCUUUCCCUUUCCGUGGCUUGCCCUUCAGGUCAUCUUCCAGGGAGGUCGGAGAACCUCAUCAAAAACAGCAUCAUCAGUCUUUGCUCUCUUGAUCCAAUUCUGAUUUGAACGAAAAUAGAGAACAGAGCAGGAUUGGGAGAAAGAGAACUGGAGGGGCCCUCGGUACUGGGGUGGGCAAAUGAUAACAAGGCCCAAAGAGAUGGCGAUUAGCCACAGUGACCUUGGGGGCUGCGUGGAGGACCUAAGCACGUGAAAUAGAAACCAACCUCUUGGGUGUUCAGUCACUGAAUUUUGGUGCUUGUUACCAAAGUUAAGCCAGCACUGAUUAAUAUAUAGUUGUAUUCACUGUGUCGCAUGUAUAGAAAGUGCUCUGUAAAUGUUUUGUUGAGUUCCCUGGUGAGGAAGAUCUGUUUAUUCCCGCAAAUGGAACAGAAUUGUACUAAAUAACUAAAGGGAACCCGCUGCUUUCCCUUAUUUGCCCAGAGAGCAGUCAUGCCCUCUUUAACUCCCUAAGGUCGUCAAACUCACUGCGUGUGAGUCCCCCUUCCUGGUUUAUCAGGGGUUGAACUUGGAAGGCACAAGCAAAGAAGAGUCUGUGAGAGAUCCCUACGGUCCGCAAAAGGCGGCCAUGAUGGUCUUCCACUUGAUCUGUGUUGCCCCUAAGACACCCUGCAGAGAGGUGCUACAGCACAAUGGCUGCAUCUAUAAAAGAUUCCUGCGAUGAAUUUCUAGGGACUCUUUUGAUGGAAAUUCAUCUUAGCAGGUUGACGCCAGAUCCUCCUGGCCCAACUGCUUCACGCUCUCUGUGUUAUUGACGUAGCUCCACUCUCAGACUGGUUUUCUGGCUC